GGGCAUCAAGUACAUGUAUCUUUACCAAUUAACCAAUUUUUAAAUGCUGGAAUAGAUCCAAAGGAGAUUCCACUUCUUCGUGAAUUUAUCUUGAAUCGGGAUCUUUUGGCUCAACUUUAUCCCAGUUUUGCCGAGGGAGCAACUCCAUUUUUCACCUUGAAUUGGUCAAAAUAUGCGAAUUUUUUUACUUUUCGUGGAGGAUUAGAUCCAGUAACUGGCGGUUUAUGGCUGACUGAUAUUGCGCACCAUCAUUUAGCUAUUACGAUUCUUUUCCUGAUAGCUGGUCACAUGUAUAGAACCAAUUGGGGGAUUGGUCAUGGUAUAAAAGAGAUCUUAGAGGCCUAUAAGGGUCCAUUUACAGGCCAGGGUCAUAAAGGUCUAUAUGAGAUCCUAACAACUUCAUGGCAUGCUUAAUUAUCUAUUAACUUAGCUAUGUUAGGCUCUUUGACUAUUGUUGUAGCUCACCAUAUGUAUUCUAUGCCUCCUUAUCCAUACCUAGCUACCGACUAUGGGACCCAACUAUCAUUGUUCACACAUCACAUGUGGAUUGGUGGAUUUCUCAUAGUUGGUGCUGCUGCGCACGCAGCCAUCUUUAUGGUAAGAGACUAUGAUCCAACUACUCGAUACAACGAUCUAUUAGAUCGUGUCCUUAGGCAUCGCGAUGCAAUCAUAUCACAUCUAAACUGGGUAUGCAUAUUUUUAGGCUUUCACAGUUUUGGUUUGUAUAUUCAUAAUGAUACCAUGAGCGCUUUAGGGCGCCCCCAAGAUAUGUUUUCAGAUACCGCUAUACAAUUACAACCCGUCUUUGCUCAAUGGAUACAAAAUACCCACGCUUUAGCACCGAACACAACGGCUCCUGGUGCAACAACAAGCACCAGUUUGACUUGGGGCGGUGGUGAUUUAGUGGCAGUGGGGGGCAAGGUUGCUUUGUUACCUAUUCCAUUAGGAACUGCAGAUUUUUUGGUCCAUCACAUUCAUGCAUUUACAAUUCAUGUAACGGUAUUGAUACUCCUAAAGGGUGUUCUAUUUGCUCGUAGCUCGCGAUUAAUACCGGAUAAAGCAAAUCUCGGUUUUCGUUUCCCUUGUGAUGGACCCGGAAGAGGAGGGACAUGCCAAGUAUCCGCUUGGGAUCAUGUCUUCUUGGGGCUAUUCUGGAUGUACAAUGCAAUUUCAGUAGUCAUAUUCCAUUUCAGUUGGAAAAUGCAGUCAGAUGUUUGGGGUACUAUAAGCGAUCAAGGGGUAGUUACUCAUAUCACAGGAGGAAACUUUGCGCAGAGUUCCAUUACCAUUAAUGGGUGGCUCCGCGAUUUCUUAUGGGCGCAAGCCUCCCAGGUAAUUCAGUCUUAUGGUUCUUCAUUAUCUGCAUAUGGUCUCUUUUUCUUGGGUGCCCAUUUUGUAUGGGCUUUUAGUUUAAUGUUUCUAUUCAGCGGGCGUGGUUAUUGGCAAGAACUUAUUGAAUCCAUCGUUUGGGCUCAUAAUAAAUUAAAAGUUGCUCCUGCUGGUGCAUUAGUAUUUGCAGCCUUAAUGCUUUUUGCUGGUUGGUUUCAUUAUCACAAAGCUGCUCCAAAAUUGGCAUGGUUCCAAGAUGUAGAAUCUAUGUUGAAUCACCAUUUGGCAGGAUUACUAGGACUUGGAUCUCUUUCUUGGGCCGGGCAUCAAGUACAUGUAUCUUUACCAAUUAACUAAUUUUUAAAUGCUGGAGUAGAUCCAAAGGAGAUUCCACUUCCUCAUGAAUUUAUCUUGAAUCGGGAUCUUUUGGCUCAACUUUAUCCCAGUUUUGCCGAGGGAGCAACUCCAUUUUUCACCUUGAAUUGGUCAAAAUACGCGGAUUUUCUUACUUUUCGUGGAGG
rnacentral:lncRNA from 1 species